rnacentral:rRNA from 1 species
UACGUAGGGGGCUAGCGUUGUCCGGAAUCAUUGGGCGUAAAGAGCGCGUAGGCGGCCCGGUAAGUCCGCUGUGAAAGUCAAAGGCUCAACCUUUGAAUGUCAGCGGAUACUGCCGGGCUAGAGUCCGGAAGAGGCGAGUGGAACUCCUGGUGUAGCGGUGAAAUGCGCAGAUAUCAGGAAGAACACCCGUGGCGAAGGCGGCUCUCUGGGACGGUACUGACGCUGAGGCACGAAAGCGUGGGGAGCAAACAGG